UACAGAGGUCUCAACCGUUGUUCGGAUUCAUUGGGCGUAAAGGGUGCGUAGGCGGUCGGGUAAGUCGGAUGUGAAAUCCCAGGGCUCAACCCUGGAACUGCAUUCGAUACUGCCUGGCUAGGGUACUGGAGAGGAGACUGGAAUUUACGGUGUAGCAGUGAAAUGCGUAGAUAUCGUAAGGAAGACCAGUGGCGAAGGCGAGUCUCUGGACAGUUACCGACGCUGAGGCGCGAAGGCCAGGGGAGCAAACGGG
rnacentral:rRNA from 1 species